CCUCUCUCCCUCCCUCUCCCUCUCCCUCUCGCGCGCACACACACACACACACACACACGCACACGCACACACGCACGCACACGCGCGCCUGCCCGCUCGGCUCCGCUCCCGAGCUGCCUCAGCGAGGAGGAGCCCGGACAGAAAACACCAGGGCAGCAGACCUCGCUUCCCUUCUUCGCUGAUGCACAGUUUGGAAGUGGAGUUCCUGGAAAGUGAACCUGGCAAGGGGGGCAGGUUUCCCUGAAAGCUGAGGCUGCUUCUUAUUCCCUAGGAGCCUGAGAAGAGAGGGGACCCUGGAUGUCAGCCCAAUCUCCUUUUUUAUUUAUUUUGACUUUGUGGCAGAUUUCCUCUUUCAGCUCUGGGAACUGACAAACGCAAUUCAUAUGUUUGCUUGCCCAGCCUUCUGCAAGAACUAUAGAAAGUCCUACGCAUGUGCUCAUCCCUGAAGUUUGGAACUGUACAGCCCAAACCCUAUACAGAAUAUGUGCUCAUACAUUGUAUUUAUGUAUGUAUUUAUGCUGACAGCUACAUUUUAUCGCUGAGUUUUUUCAGAGUGCUGAUUUGAGGGAAGUGGGUGCAGAUCUCAUUCAAGUAAUCAUUCUCCAAUACCACUCGUGUUACCUGCCAAAAAUGGAAGUGGCAUAUGAAUCACAAUAAUCCACUCAUUAAUUUGUGGAUUCAGAGCCUGCCAAGGAACAUCAGAAAUCCACAUGAUUAGGGACUUUGAAAGAUGUGUAAAAGUGCAUUUAUCCAAAGGCCGUCUUAUUGAUGACUUAUCUUAUUGAUAAGGACUACUGAUAUAACCUAAUGACCACAUUAACUGAAAAUAUUUCUGUCAUAUUUCUGUCCAAAUCUUUCUCUUUCAAGCGGAAUAGCGAAAGUGGUGAAUCUGCCAGCUCUAACUAUGUCAGAGGCCCUUCGUAAGGUACCCUUUCUUGAGUGUCAUUGUGACCUAAACUUGGAGAUACACUUUUGCUUGAGAAGAGCUAUCGGAUCCUCUGUGAGGCUUUGAAAAACAGGGGGCAAUAUAUUCCUCCAAAAAUGUUAACAGCAUAACCACUGCCCAGUUUUCAGAUUGGCCCUGCUCCAUUGUCAUUGACUGCUUUUGCCACACAUGGGAUGUAUGGGCACAGUUCAGACAGUCUGUCCGAUGCAUGCUUCCUUCCCCAAGCCUGCAUGAUACCACAGAAGAGGAGGUUAUAAAAGCUGCUCUGGAACCCUCCCACUUGUGAUCUGUAUCCUGCAAUAUGGAAUAUUCUAAAUAUCGUGGGCCUUCCCUAGCUAACGAGCUGGUUAUUCUGGCUAUACAUGAAGAUACAGAUUUGGGUCUUAAUUAACACUUGUAGUUUAAUCAAACCAUUUAUGAUCCUGAGAAAUCUGAACUGUAGACUUUCUGUUUUUUCUGAUGACAGACAAAUACCGUAAACAAAAAGGAACUAAAAUAAUAGUUUAGCGCAUAAAGUGUUUGCAGCAACUAUGACUGUGAUAACUUUUGUGGAAAAAUGCGAAGUCUGAAGCUCAUUUUUUUCAGUGUCUGAAGAAGAUUUUAGAGGUAACAGACAUGAAUAAAAUAAGUUAGGGCUCUCACAAAAGAGUUUCUGGUGUGUACAUUUAAACAUCAUUCUAAUUAAUUUGAAUUUUACAGGGGCUAACUCAGCUGUAGGAUCAAUGCUAGACUCAGUCUUAUUACAAAAGAAAUUGGCCCAAAAGAGAAAAUCAGGAAUAAGUUGCUAUGAAAGUGGAUUGGCCUGUUUAGUCUGGCGACCUAGUGAAACAGUGCAGGACUCUGUAAUCUUCAGGGCAGACAGGUCUUCUCUGCUGAAGGAAGCAGGAAGUGCAAAGAGGGCUGUAAUUGCAGAUUCUUGAAUAAGGAAUAUAAUUGUUACUUUCUCCAAGCAGAUCCCAGACAGAGUUUAAUAGUGUGCACACAUUGACAAGUCUCUGAAGCACACACUUCUCCCCUAAUUUGUUCAUGCAUGUUGAUAUACUGUAAUGUAUUUACACCCACUAAAAAUGUAGUCCAUACAGAGCAUUUCUGAUGCGCAGGGCUCCUUAGUCUUCUUUGCUUUUAUAUUGACCAUGAUGUAGAGAGGUAUAAGGGAGCAAGAUUCAAUAAGAGAACAAAGGUCCAGUAGAUGUGUUUCUUUUAAUACUUUGAAGCUUCCGCCUUAAAAUAAGGGCUUAUCUUUGCCAUGAUUAUAGUGAUCAGAGUCUUUACUGCAGUGUCAGGGCCAUGCUAUUUUUCAUAUUCAUUGAAAUAGUUCCAAUUGCACAGCAUGCUUUAAAAAACAAAAAAACACAAGCAGUAUUUGGCUUCAGGAAACUUUGAAUCAGGAGAGUACACUUGUGAAGUAAUAUUCAUUUUCUUUGCUGAAUUUAAAGGGAUCACAUCUUGUGUUAAACUAAUAUAAGGCCUGGACAAUAUAAGGAGAAGCUGUGCUGCAUCAUUAUUUCUCCAACUGUGUUCUACAAAGCUUGCUUGUAACUACUGAGUAUAAAGUGCAGCAAAAACAAAUGUGAGCUUCUGCUAACAAAGCUUUAUCUUUGGUGGCUGAAAUGCAUUUUUUGUUAUUUCUUCAUGUUCUAUACUCUUGUUCUAGUCAUUACAAAACAAAUGGUUGUUUUAACUGUAGCGUCAGGCACCAUUAGGUGUAUGGCUUCCUGUGAUCCACGAUGACUGAGGCCUGAGAUUUACAAAUGAUUGUUUAAUUUUUAUUAAACUCCCUUGAUCUGUAGAUCUAAGCAAAAUCAUGUCAUACUUUGAAAUGAGUUCAGUAGUGACUGUCCUUCAGAAGCUGUGCUAGAUUUGUAUUGUUCUGCAGCGCUGUGGACAGCUUUUUCAGGAUAAUCGAGAGCAGGGAAAUACAUUAAAUGAUUUUUAUUUCUGUUGCCUGUCAUAUUUCAAAAGCCUUUAAUUCUUAUUUCUAUGAAAUGUGAAGUUAGGCAAAUGUUAGCUUUUCAUCCCAGGAGAUUCAUGCCUUCGAUUUAUUUGUAGUGAAUAGUACUUUGCAAGUAGUAGACACGUAUGAUUCUCUAUGAUGACCUGAAUUUAGAGUAUUCAGCUCCGUGAUGUUAAAGGUUUCAGGGCUUAAACCCGUAAAGCUCAUGUAUUUUUGUUUUACUACAAAAAAACCCCUACAGUCACUUCUCAAUCUGAUACUGGAUUUAAAAUAUUUUAAAAUACUCAUCCGAUGGUAGCUGGAGGGAGAUCAGCAACUUUUUUUUAUCUUCUACUGAUCAGCCAUCCCCCCACAAAAAGGUGACCUAUGUGUGAAGUAUCCCAUUUCUAGUCCCUCAGGGGUAUUUAGUAUCACUUCUUGUCAAGGAAGAGCAGGGCAGUCUGCAGUAUCCACUGAUGAUAUAUAUACAACUGGGGCUUAGAAGGAGGUUUUAUAAAAAGUGUUAUCUGCAGAAAGAAUAAAAAGAUCACUACUGUUUGCAAUAGUUCAUACAGUUGGUCUUUUUUAAACCGAUAUAUCUAGGUAAGUCAUAUUUGCACAAGGAGGAAAGUGAAGUCAUGGUUUGCUACUGCUUGGCAAUAUUCAUACAGCGAAUCAAGUCAACAAUGCUGAGGUUGAGAACAACACAAACCAAGGAGGUUGUGAUGCAAAUGAUGCAUCUUGGUUGCUUCCUCAUGAACUCUUCCAUGAAAUCUUGCUACUCCCAUCUUGAUUGUAUAUGCUAAUCCUGGCUUCUUAAUUGACUCAUAACAGAUUUAUCUGGAUUUCCAACUUCCUCUUCUCUUUAGAAUGUUAAUUAAAAGAAAAACGAUUACACUUAAGAUAUUCAUGACAAUAAAAGAGUUUUCUGCUAGAGGUGUUCAGAGCCAAAUUUUGCUUUCAUUUAUAUGGGACCAUUUGAAACCAACGAGCUAAGUUCUGCACGAAGAACCCUUUAAUACACACGUAGUGUAAAAGGGCCUUAGCAGGAAUGGAAAUGAGUUCAUAUAAUAUUUUUUCUAAUUUUUACCUCACACAGUAAAAUUGAGAAAAAAAAAUCAGCCUUUAGAAUGAAAUAUGCAGAAUAAAUCAGAAAACAUUUUCUUUGGGCAAAAAUUAGCCCCAGUGUGCUCCUACAGACUUAUGUAUUCUCCCUCUCUUCUCUGAAAUCAGUCUUUGUCAGAAGUAGAAGGAGGGCUUGGAUUUUCUCCUUAUGGAAGGUGGAGAUUUUGAGGCAUGUGCCUAGUAUAAUUGUCCUUUGUUAUUUCUUAUGCCAUAUGCUGAGCUUGUUUAUUUUUAUUCAGGAUUUAGGAACUCUUUAAAUAGUGGUUAUGUUUUUUGUAGUAUGGACAAAAACUGUUUUAAUUAAAGAAGGAGAAGUAGAAUUAAAAUGCUAUUUCUUCUUCCUUUUUUUUUUUUUUUAUUUUGCUCCUGUUAUGGACUUGUAUAGGGCUUUUUUGUUUGCCUUUUUUUUUUUUCUCCUUUGCAAAACACUUUGUAGUCAUGCUCUUUCUUGGUACCUCACCAUAUUGUUGUUGGUGGUUUAUGUUUUUUUAUAUUCAGUAGAUUAAAUCAUACUAUCCUAUUUGGGAUCUUCCCACCAUUACAGCUUUUGCCACCCAUAACCUUAUUUUAUGAUCAAAGGGGAAAUAAAGGGAAAGCAGUAAUGUUAAUAGGCUUUCCCAUGCAGUCUCUUUGGGAAUGGUCUUUUUAUAAGUGUCUUGAACUUGACCUCUUCAGAAGGCCCAAAGGUCCAACACACAUUUUUAAAGUUACAUUUAAAUUUUAAUAUUUUUAUUCUGUGAAGCCAUUUAAAACCUGGCCCUCAAAACACAAAGCAUAAAUCUUUCAGGACAGUCAUACAGUAAAAUUGACGUGUGCGGAAGAGAAGUUCUGGAAAACCCCUAAAGCACUGUUGCUUUGCUUUUCAUGUCGUUUUAUAGAUACCUUCUCUACAACACUACCAAAUAAUCAAACAAAAUCCAAUGAAUAAUAUUGUGAUUUCAUCGCUCUGGCAUUUGAACUUGCAAAUACAAUUUAGCAGUGAAUUAGGAGAGGAAAAGUUUUGCAUUGCCCCACCCUCAUUAUAAAAAUGUUCUUCAGAGCCAAACAUUUGAGGCAUUAGAAAGAUUUACAGUAAUAAUAUAAGUAGCUAUAAUGAACUUGGGAACAAGGGAGUCUUGUAAGAGAUUCUCAGAAUGAGAGCGAGGUUUUGUAAGCAAUUCUAUCAACACUAAAUAAAUAUUUAGGAGGAUAGUCUUCUCUUAGCGAGUCAGUAAAUAAUUGUAGUGCUAAUAGGAAGUAUAUGAUUUGGGUAUGAGAGAUACGUAUCUCUGAGUCCAUACAACUUGUUUAUGCGGGUGAAUCUAGUUCUCAUUAAAGGUACUGGUUUGACUGUCCUGAUUGCUGCAGUCUUCUUUCCAUGAAAAUAAGCAAGCUUUGUCACUGGCUGUGCAAGGUUUCUGUACCAUCCCUGAGUUCAACUGAGGGGAGUUUCUCUUGUCUGUAAUGUCUUUUUUUGAGAAGGUCAGCAAGGUAGCCAAUAUGUAACAGUGAGGUUUGAUAGCACACUUGGAAUGGGAAUGAGCACUUGUUAAAUGACUGAACUCGACGUGGUCCCUGCAGGUGGGGGUUACACCGCUGCCCAUCGCUGUCAUGACAGGUGGUUCAGCGUGCCCUGGCCAAGCUUGGGAAUGUACAAGAUUCCUGUGUAGUUUUCCUUUGUUUGCCCAUGUAACUUUCGCAGCUCCUAAAUUCAAAUCUCAGGCCAUACCAGUAUAGUGAUAUAGCUCGUGAGAAAAUGGGAAGACUGGGGAACAGGGCAGAGCAAGGCAUGGGAGAGGCAAGCGAAAGUGGCUACAAGUUGUCCCUGGCACUUCCACUCUAAUCUUUGGCAUUGCUGCAAUUUAUGCCCCUUCCAGGGGCCUGCAGCAGGAGGAGUGGUUGGGAUGGAGCAUGACCUCCAAUUCCUGACACUCACCCUGGCUUCCUCCCUGCCAGGCUGAGCUGAGAAUGUGGCACAGAAACAGGGAAUCCCAUUGAAAUUGCUGGAAAAAACUCUCAUUAACUUAAUGAGAUUUGGAACAUUACAAGGGAACUCCAGCUGGAACCAGAUCUGAACUCAAGUGCGAAACAUUCCUGCAUAUACCACUGCAAACGGGUUUCGAGGAGAAUAUGUGCUCAGACAUACAAAUGGCUAGAUUCUGAUCUCAGCAACGCCAGUGUAAGUCUCCUGACUCACAUAAACUGCACUUAGAGGACUAGCCCUGAAGACUGCAAAAUGAAGAGAGACACAUACCACAGGAGGCUACGAGAGGAGGGUGGAGCUACGAAGAUUUAGCCACACACCUUGCUGAAACACCUUGAGACAGGUAGACCUGGCAGCAGUUGGCUGAGAUGGGGCUUUCAUCCUCCAUAAACACUACUUUCCAUAAUUAAGUGUAAAGUCUGACCAGGUUCACACUUCAUUGUGCUGUAGUCUAGCUAUGCUUAGAUUCUCAAUACAACACUUUUUUUUUAACUCUCUAACAAACACACUUCACUUUUAUUUAUUUAAGAUAAGUUACCAUGAUUGUUGGGCUUCUCGUGGGGGAGAGAACUGACUUAUGAAUAUAGAAAAGAUAGAAUGAAGAGAGAAGAAACAGAUUCUCCUUGCAGCACAGUGCGAGAAGGCAGCAGGCUGGCCUCAAAAUAAGCAGAGGAAGUGCUGAAUGACCCAAGUGAUGACAGGCUUGGUUGCAUUCUCCUGCGUAUAUAGAAGACACUUGUUUUGUCCAUAUGUCUCCAUACCGUAGCUGUGAAACCACUGCAGUAUUCUCAUGCAGUGAUAUUCAGACAGCCAGAUUAGUCUGAAAGGGAAAACCAGUCUGCUUCUAUCUAGUUUAUAAACUUCUGAAAAAUGUCAAUAGAAUAAAGAUCUCUAAAUCAACUAGUCUGUAUUUCUUUUCCAUCUGUGGACAUACCAAAAGCUCACACUUCAAUCAAAGUAAAUGGGAAUUUUCCUGAGAUAAGAAUUGGCCCUUGAUAGAGUUUUGACUUGUCACCUAGUUAAGAGUGUUUUCAUUAUUUUCUGAUCACUUAUCCCAGUGCUGCCACACUUAACUUUUCUUUAUGAAGUAAUUUAAUACCUCAGAGCUCAGAGGAAACUUAACAUACCAUCCAUCUCUUUCAUUUUAACUGAUUCAAAGCAAACUCCAUUUCUUAAAGCAGUUCUUUUUUUAUCCAUUACACAUCUGAACUUGCAAUGAGAGAGACUAAUACAAAACAAAUAAAAACUUUCUUUUUUGAAACUUUUGAACAAGUUAAAACAGAUCUAAAACUGUAUUCACAGUAAUUGAUACUAAUUAAAAUGCUGAAGCUGCAUUAACAAGAAAUGAAAAGGAGUAUUUUGGGUCUUAUCUUUUGCACCGUGAAUGUUUUUUCAUGCUCAGCUUCUCAUAAAUGUGGAAACAUUAUACCUUGUAUUAUUUCCAUGGUAAAUGCUAUUGCUGUUUGGCAUUUUAUGGGGUGGGGUUUAUAAUUUUAUUAACACCAUCUGUUGUUUAAAAGAUAAUACAGAAUGAUUAAAAAUUACCAAAAAUGCUGGUGCAGAAUCAGGAGCAACAUUCGCAGUUUGCUUUUUGCCGGGCAAUUUAUCUGUAUUUAAGCCUAAUUCAUAUUAAAGUCAGUUGAAUUUAACUCUUUAUGGUUCAUGUAAGGCUACAAAUAUUUCCACUUGACAGUGUAUUAAUCGCUAUUAGCAUCGUGGACAUAUUCUGUAUCUGAAAAGCCUUUGCUGCUAGAUCUCCUCAAAAAUGCUGAAGGGUAAGGAGGGAAAUGAAAGGUCACAGUCUGAAAGGAGUAAAGACCCUGAAGAUCAUAUACAAACAGAAUUAUUACACUUCUUUAAAAGGGAAAGGCAGACUGAAAACAUGAAUGAGGAAUGGAUUUGUUUGCAUGACUUAUGUUUCUGCUAGAAACACUCAGACACAUCUGAAGGCAAAAGGAGUUUUUGAUUACUGAAUAAACCAUUUUUCCUGAAGCUGAAUGGAAACACAGCAUCAUGGGCAGGUGGUUUUACAUGUUUCACUCCACCCACAGCCUGAGAGUAGAGCCAGUUAAAAUACAAAGGCAGGAGAGGUCAUAAAUACAGGCAGUAAGAGGUGCUUGCGUGAACUUGGAGGAAUAUCAAUGACAUGAGACUAGGAGAGAUGCCUGUGGCUGGCCUGCAUCUUGGCCAGAGGUGGAGAGCUAUUGCAGCUUUGCUUAAUAGGGAAACCAUCAUGGUCUUCUCUGAUCUAUAUCUAUUACCUAACUGCUUAAAAUAAAUAGCCAGUUGCAUUUAGGGAAAGAGAAGAGGCAGAACACUAUUAUAUAAGAAUUUGCCAAUUAUGAUUUGACUCUUCUGGAUUUAUGGGCAGAGACAAUGCUUUCUUUUCCUAGGGAUGUACAAACAGUAGGUAUUUUCCAGCAUGAUCCCACAGAAUAAAAUCUAUAAAACUUUGGCUUCCAGCUACAGAUUUCCUAUCUGAAGAAUACACUGAGGAGGACAAAUCCUUCUGUUACCAAAGAACAGAAAAACUUGUGAUGGAAAGAGCUAUGAGCCUGUUAUUGGCUGCCAACACAAGUAUUUUGGACUGAGAAAAACUGCACUUCAAACUAAUGAGAAACCAGAGAAACUAUCAAGAACCUUGGUCUAAUCCUGUUUCCAUCCUGGGCCAGGCCGGACUGAGAAGACAACAUGCAUUUUUAGGGGAAAUGACUGAAGUGAAGUGAGUGGGCAAGAAGCAUGCAAUGAUGAGACACAGCUAUUCAUGUCAGUUCUUUAGUUCUCUUGGUCAUGUUGUUUAAAAAAAAAUAGGAUGGGACAUUUUUCCAAAACAAUGUUGUCACGUAAAUCUACUGGCCCAAUGACUAAUGACGCUUACUCAGGCCUUGUAUGUAACAUAGCUGUGUGGAGACAACACAGUCCCUAUGGAUUGUCAGCCAUGGAGCUAGAAGUGGAAUUAACCCUAGUGUGGCAUCCUGUGUACAGUGAAGUGUACUUGCUUUGAUGGAAUGUCCAUGACCCCCUGUAUUCCUUAUUGCUCUUAAUGCUUCACCUCCUGACACUGAGGUGUAUCAGAGGAGAAAAAUAAGUCUCCUUUGUGCACUAGGCAUAAAUAGAGUCAAUUUAAAUGUGCCACUUUGCUCUCAGAGACCCAACAAAAAGUCCCUUAAGGUUUAGGUUUAUCAAGUCUGUGAACUUUACACAAGACCCAAGGUACUGACAUCUCUGUAUGAUUCAUAAAGAAACAUUCUGUUUACACAUGAGUGUGAGCCUCGAGAAACAGAGUUUAGAAAUGGCUUGAAGUAUAGGACAGAAAUCAAAUGCAAUAAUGAAAAGCAUUUGAUUUUCCCAUAAAGGUAGCAGAUACAAGGUCAGCAAGUGAAACAUGAAUAUUCUUAUUACUAUCAGUGCUUCAGUCAGGCUAUCAAUCCAAAGCCUUUGUUCAGAGGCUUGUGACUCAUCUAUAAGUAUUUACCAAGGUGGCAAAAUUGGCACUAAGCUUAUGCUUAGAAGAGGAGGGUUUUCUAAAUAAACAUUUUAUCAGAAGAAUAGAUUUUCCAUCUUAAAGUUGUAUUGUGGUACACAAAGUUGCUACUUUGAAGUGGAAUAUCCUAAUGCAGAAGAUCCAUAGGACUGAAAACAACAAAUGCAGAAAUGGUGUUAUUCAGUUUUGCAUUUAUUUUAUGUAUUUAUUUUUACCAAUCUUGGGUCAAAACAGAUUUCAAAGCAGAAAACAACCUGCUUUCAAAUUCAUAAGAAUAAUUAAAACACAAUAAAGCCAUUCUACUGUAUUCUCAGGAAAAAAAAAAAAACCUAUGUGUUGCAAUAAAUCUUAUUUUUCAAAAUAAUAUUUCACUUGGAAACACAUUUAAAGGAACUGCAUGUUCUCAUAAGUGUAGUCACACUACAGGUAGUUCAUUAAAAUGGUUCUACCUUUUUGAAGUGUGUUGAGCCUGCAAUAUCUAUUCAUGUGAUUGAAAAACUUGUAAAUAGCUGAGAGUACAGAAGUUACAUUACUGUUGUAAAUCAGUCUUUUCUGUGGUUAAAUGAUAGGGUCGAGAAGGGUGAGGGUGAGGCCAGUGACUAUCUUUCCCCUCCACCUAGUUUGAGGGAACAUUAGAAGAUGAAUGAGAAUAGGAUUUCCUUAAUUUUAGGGCAGGUUCACAGAGUUUAGUUGCUAUUUUUUUUUUCUUCCUAAAUUUUGGUAAUAUUGACCUCCACUGAUACAAAGUAACACACUUUUCAGAGGCAAUGUCCUCCUGGACUGCAGAAGCAGGAUUUCCAAGCACACAAGACAGCAGCCGCCUCAGAAGUUACUUGGGAACAGAACUCUGACUCUGUUUAUUCCACCUUUUUCCCAUGUCUGCUUCUCAUGUGACACUAAUGAACAUUAAUGGACCUAUAAUGAUAAAGAAGUUCUGCUCAAACCAAAAGUAUAUACAGCACAGCAUUGCAUAUCUCCACAGCAGGAUAACAGCCAGAAUUGAUGUGCAAACGGUCACUGACAGAUGCUAGCGAAAGACUGAUGAUUUUUUCCUAUAUUUUUUACUUUUCUUGUGCUUUUUAUUCCUUUUAUUUUUUGGCAGUCUUUGGUGACUUUCAAAUUUAGAUUUCAAAAUGUGAAUGAGAAAUAAAUUCUCUAAUUGCAGCGAUGCAUAUCCACAAUCCUUGCUCUAAGUGAAGAACAGCACAUGGUCAACAUCUCUGAAGAGCAAAAUAAUUUUAUUUAGGUGUUUCUUUUGGGGAAGCGAUGAGAGUUUUAGCCUAUUUACCAUGAUCAGUGAAAUAACAUCCAGGAACUGCCUAAAUCCUCUAAAAUCUUUCUUCCAGCACUGCAUAUUCUUUAAUUGUUGUGAAGUAUUUGGUCAAGUAGUAAGAUUAUAUUUACAUUCCGACAAUGCUUUGUGGCCUUAGUCAAAGAUCAGGGCUGAAUGAUGGAUUUUUUGGAAGUUGCUUUGUUUUCAUCAGAUUAAUAGGAAAAAGAUGGUUAUGACCCAGCAAGUUUAUAAUCAGAGUGUACAACAGGAUAAAACAAACAUCAAGAAGAAGAGGAGGGAGGAGAAAACACUUUUUCCGCAAGAAAUAGUAAUUUUCACUCUUUACCUGUUUGGCCAUUGUUUCUUCUGGGACAUAGAUUCCAGGAAAGAUUAUUUGCAAGUGAAUGAGUCCUUGAUACUGCAAACGUCUGGAGAGGUGACUAAAUCCACACAUUUGCCUUAGAGAAUUGAGAGUCCAGGGUUUUACAUAUUUAUAACUGCAGCCUCAUGUUUGAUUUGCCCUUUUUGACUACCUUCUUGUCUAAUGUCAUAGUGAAAAAAUGGCAGUCAGGCACUUCUGCUUUUAUAUUUACAGUAACUUUGAAUGAUCAUAUGGGGACUCACACAGGAAAGCAUAACUUACUUUGAACCUCCUACCCUUUCCUCAUGUAUGGCUUAAAAUAAGUACGCAUAGUUAUCAAACUCUUGUCAGGACUUGUAACUUGUCUGCAAUAACAAGGUUAGCCAGCAAUAGCAGUCUAUGCUCUGUGGUUGCAUGCCAGUAAAACACUGACAAAUUGAAAACUGUAAUGAGAAUAAACACAUUAUGAAUAUACCAAGCACAGUGACACUUUUACAUUAGGAACUGCGGUCACGGUAAGUAGCCUUGUCCUAACCAACCCCUGUCUUUUGAAAUACGGCCCCAUUUUAAACUUAUCAUGUGUUCUAAAACAGUGGUAAUAAAUGUGUCCUGUGUGCCAUAACUGUAGGUUUUCAGGACAUGAUUUGAAAUGAUUUGCCUGCCUGGUGUAUUCCUAGUUCCCCCAGUAAACAAGAUUGAAAGUUAAUAACAAGAAUGGUUUCAUAAAUGAAAACAUAAAUUGUUACGGAGCUGAAUAGAGUUACAAUUUAUUGGCAAUCAGAAUCUUCAAGCAAUAAUUGUUCUAUUAUUUUUGUUUGGGUUUCUUUUAGUAUUUUUUUUUCUGUAGAUAUGGUUUGGCAUGUGUUGAUUAAUAAAACAUUCACUGACAAUCA